rnacentral:snRNA from 1 species
AACUAAAAUAUUAUCUUAACCCA